AACGAAGUCUAUAUACCAUCAGCGAGGUAUAGAGUUCCUACGUGCAAAUUGCAAUAGUCGUAGGAACUUAAUACCGUGCUCUUGGAGGGCUGUCGAC
rnacentral:pre_miRNA from 1 species